rnacentral:RNase_P_RNA from 1 species
UUGUUGUACCGAAUGAUCGCGCUUACUCAUAAGAGUAUGUGAGGAAAGUCCGAACACAUAACGAUUUAAUUCGUACAGGUAGUGGGUAAUACCCAUCGUGGGCAACCAUAGGGCUGCGAACAGUGACGAAUCCCUUUAGUGGGAGUGAAACGGCUAAAUGCCUAUCCGUGUGCAAGACCGUGCUGAGAAAUCAGAGUGUCGCUUGAGGAUGACAGUAAUAUCAUUCCCAGAUAAAUGAUCACUAGAACAGAACUCGGCUUAUGAGUACAACAAAUAU